CUGCAGGAUCUCGUACCUGGGCUCGAUCCUUUGCGCCAGCAGGGAAUCCUCCUCCCUCAAGGGAUCUUCUGCCCACACGGGAGAGCC